AUCAAAGCGUCAGUAACUCAUCACUGAUCAUUGCUGGGUGUGUGUUUUUGAGUGGGGCACGGAGAACAUAAGACUGAGGAGAUCCCUACAGAAGAUGUUGUCUUAUCUGGUGUCCUCAGGUACCACAGAAGCUCAAGUGCUGUCCUGUGUGAGAAAUCUGCAUGGUUGCAAGCCUAUUGAUGAGACAGACACAG